GUGUUGUAUGAAAGGGGAGAAGGUUAGCACUCCCCUUGACAAGGAUGGAAGAGACCCUCGGGCCUAACAACACACAUAUGGUUAAAAAUUAUCUUUUCUGUUAAUAGUGACUUUUCAUUGGUUUGG